CAGUGGGGAAUAUUGCACAAUGGGCGCAAGCCUGAUGCAGCAACGCCGCGUGAGGGAUGACGGCCUUCGGGUUGUAAACCUCUUUUGGCAGGGAAGAAGCGCAAGUGACGGUACCUGCAGAAAAAGCACCGGCUAACUACGUGCCAGCAGCCGCGGUAAUACGUAGGGUGCAAGCGUUGUCCGGAAUUAUUGGGCGUAAAGAGCUCGUAGGCGGUUUGUCGCGUCUGCUGUGAAAACGCGAGGCUCAACCUCGCGCCUGCAGUGGGUACGGGCAGACUAGAGUGUGGUAGGGGAGAUUGGAAUUCCUGGUGUAGCGGUGGAAUGCGCAGAUAUCAGGAGGAACACCGAUGGCGAAGGCAGAUCUCUGGGCCAUUACUGACGCUGAGGAGCGAAAGCGUGGGGAGCGAACAGGAUUAGA
rnacentral:rRNA from 1 species